GCACUGCUGAGGAGUCCCAUAAUAGGACGAAACGGGUGUCCAGUGC
rfam:Schistosoma mansoni, Puerto Rico, WGS project CABG01000000 data, contig: 0222